UACGUAGGGUGCGAGCGUUGUCCGGAAUUAUUGGGCGUAAAGAGCUCGUAGGCGGCUUGUUGCGUCGGAUGUGAAAGCCCGGGGCUUAACUCCGGGUCUGCAUUCGAUACGGGCAGGCUAGAGUUCGGUAGGGGAGAUCGGAAUUCCUGGUGUAGCGGUGAAAUGACGCAGAUAUCAGGAGGAACACCGGUAGCGAAGGCGGAUCUCUGGGCCGAUACUGACGCUGAGGAGCGAAAGCGUGGGGAGCGAACAGG
rnacentral:rRNA from 1 species